UGGAGAGGGGCGGGGGAUACUCUCCUCUCACCAGGAUGCCCUUCCCACCGCAGGUCAUCCAGGGGCACCUCCCCUCCACCCCAUGAUUACCCAGAAGAACCAGACAGUGCCUGUCAGGAGGAACCUGGGCCUGCUGCUGAAGCCUUAGAGACCUCAGCCCAUCUCGCCCAGCAGGAGUCACGCACCACCCUCUCAGGUGAGUCAUGGGGGGAGGAAUCCCAGUGUAAACAGCCCCCGCUCUCCACCCCAGAGGUGGCUGCAUCUCAGCACCAGGCGAGGGAUACCUGUGUGCUUUUGGAUCUGUGGUGGGUGGGGGUUAUAGACUGAGCCCUCCCCUCCCCCCCGGCUACCUCAAGCUCAGUCACUCUGCCCCCUCAGGCAUGGGCAGCACUGUAUGGACCAUAGGGAGUCGCAUCAGCCACUGGAGACUGGCACACCAGCGGGGUUACCACGUGGACCAGCUAACACAGGCACCGGCUGAGGAAACACGAGCGGGACUGCAAAGCAGCUGUGAGUCUGCCCCCCCCCCCAUGGUUUAUGGGGCCUUUCUCCCCCUUCCGAUGGUAUGCUCCCGCCCUACCCAGACCUGAACUUCCUGCCAGCCCCCGUCCAUCUGACCUGAGCCCUGACCCACUAGUGCACCUGCCCCCAGCCUCCUCUGACUACCUCUCAAUACCUCUACCCUGAGCCCCUAGAGUGUCCCGCACAAUCUCCCUAACCCCCCAUGGUGGCCUGUCUUCCGGCCUUGAUCACCCCAGCCCCUCCUGCUGCCCUCUUAUGGGGCUCCCUCCCCCUGAGUCAGUCCCCCAUCACCUCUGAUGCUCCAGUUUGGGGCCCUCAUGGGGAACCCCAGUCUAGGCAUCUCUCAUGAUCCCCUGAGCUCCCUCCACCCACCCACAGGGAACACACACAAGGCUAAUGCCCCACGUGGGUCCUAUGUCAAUGGGGAAAGGACCUCCUCACAGUGCCCUCCCCCAGUCUCAGGGCACCACUGAGAACUGAGGCUCUCAUCAUGUGGAUGAGUGCUCAGAAAUCCCCCCAGGGAGGGUCAGGGCUGCAGGGAAUCACCUCCUGGACACUAAGCUCCCCCACUCCACGGCCAGGGAGGAGG
rnacentral:lncRNA from 1 species